UUCCGGUUGAUCCUGCCGGAGGUUACUGCUAUCGAGGUUCGACUAAGCCAUGCGAGUCGAAUGUAGCAAUACAUGGCGAACUGCUCAGUAACACGUGGACAACCUGCCCUUAGGACGGGGAUAAACCCGGGAAACUGGGUAUAAUACCCGAUAGGUCUCGAUUGCUGGAAUGCAUCGAGAUUUAAAGCUCCGGCGCCUAAGGAUGGGUCUGCGGCCUAUUAGGUAGUAGUGGGUGUAGCGUACCUACUAGCCUACGACGGGUACGGGUUGUGAGAGCAAGAGCCCGGAGAUGGAUUCUGAGACACGAAUCCAGGCCCUACGGGGUGCAGCAGGCGCGAAAACUUUACAAUGCUGGCAACAGCGAUAAGGGAACCUCGAGUGCCAGGUUACAAAUCUGGCUGUCGAGAUGCCUAAAAAGCAUUUCAUAGCAAGGGCCGGGCAAGACCGGUGCCAGCCGCCGCGGUAACACCGGCGGCUCGAGUGGUAACCGUUAUUAUUGGGUCUAAAGGGUCUGUAGCCGGCCGGAUAAGUCUCUUGAGAAAUCUGGCAGCUUAACUGUCAGGCUUUCAGGAGAUACUGUCUGGCUCGAGGCCGGGAGAGGUGAGAGGUACUUCAGGGGUAGGAGUGAAAUCCUGUAAUCCUCGAGGGACCACCUGUGGCGAAGGCGCCUCACCAGAACGGCUUCGACAGUGAGGGACGAAAGCUGGGGGAGCAAACCGGAUUAGAUACCCGGGUAGUCCCAGCCGUAAACGAUGCGCGUUAGGUGUAUCGGUGACCACGAGUCACCGAGGUGCCGAAGGGAAACCGUGAAACGUGCCGCCUGGGAAGUACGGUCGCAAGGCUGAAACUUAAAGGAAUUGGCGGGGGAGCACCACAACGGGUGGAGCUUGCGGUUUAAUUGGAUUCAACGCCGGG
rnacentral:rRNA from 1 species